CAGGCUCGCCGCCCCGGCACCGGCACGUAAGCCCCUCCCGCUGCCGCCCCUUCCCGCGCCCCGCGGGGUGCCUGGGGGCUCCAGGAUCUGCCCCCCACUCAGUGCCUUCCUAGGACACAGGAGACCCUCGAUGCGCUCUCCAGCUCCCUGGUCCUUGGCACCCAUGUCCUCCUGCAGCUUCCAGCUCUUCUGUCCCCAGGCCUCAAGCAGCUCCCCCCGCGGGGAGCCCUCUCCAAGAGGCGGGGACAGCCGAGGGCCUGGCUCAGACACCCCUGAACCUCCCGCCCCGGCGGGGGAGCCAGUGCGCAUGCGUGCAUGGCUGCGCAGGUGCGUGCGUGCCUGCGUAGGUGCGUGCGUGCGUGCGUGCCGUGUCCUGCUUGCGGGCAAGCGGGAGUCCUCUAUAACCCGGAUGCCACUGCUCCAGGGUAUCCGCCAUGUUUGCUCAUGUUCUCACUUUGCCUCUCAGUCAGGUGAAUUGCUGUGACAUUCCAAGCUCCAAUAAAAGAGUUUGACCUGUGACUAUUCGUUGAAAAACAUGACACACUUAUGGUCCCUCCAUGCAGGGACCAUAGCCACUAUUGCU
rnacentral:lncRNA from 1 species